GGCUGGUCUGAGUGCAGUAGUUUUACAGCGAAUUGAUCACUAUCAGUUAACAUUUCUUUGUUCCUUCUCUACUUCCACUACUUCAUUUGACUAGCCUUAA
ensembl:Y_RNA Y_RNA Y RNA